GACGAACGCUGGCGGCGCGCCUAACACAUGCAAGUCGAACGGAGUCACGAGGAGCUUGCCUUUCUUGACUUAGUGGCGAACGGGUGAGUAACGCGUGAGUAACCUGCCCUGGAGUGGGGGACAACAGUUGGAAACGACUGCUAAUACCGCAUAAGCCCACGGAUCUGCAUGGAUCUGCGGGAAAAGGAUUUAUUCGCUCUAGGAUGGACUCGCGUCCAAUUAGCUAGUUGGUGAGGUAACGGCCCACCAAGGCGACGAUUGGUAGCCGGACUGAGAGGUUGAACGGCCACAUUGGGACUGAGACACGGCCCAGACUCCUACGGGAGGCAGCAGUGGGGGAUAUUGCACAAUGGGGGAAACCCUGAUGCAGCGACGCCGCGUGGAGGAAGAAGGUUUUCGGAUUGUAAACUCCUGUCGUUAGGGACGAUAAUGACGGUACCUAACAAGAAAGCACCAGCUAACUACGUG
rnacentral:rRNA from 1 species